rnacentral:rRNA from 1 species
GACGAACGCUGGCGGCACGCUUAACACAUGCAAGUCGAACGAGAGAAGAGGAGCUUGCUUUUCUGAUCUAGUGGCGGACGGGUGAGUAACACGUGAGCAAUCUGCCUUUCAGAGGGGGAUACCGAUUGGAAACGAUCGUUAAUACCGCAUAACAUAAUUGAACCGCAUGAUUUGAUUAUCAAAGAUUUAUCGCUGAAAGAUGAGCUCGCGUCUGAUUAGCUAGUUGGUAAGGUAACGGCUUACCAAGGCGACGAUCAGUAGCCGGACUGAGAGGUUGAUCGGCCACAUUGGGACUGAGACACGGCCCAGACUCCUACGGGAGGCAGCAGUGGGGAAUAUUGCACAAUGGAGGAAACUCUGAUGCAGCGAUGCCGCGUGAGGGAAGAAGGUUUUAGGAUUGUAAACCUCUGUCUUCAGGGACGAAAAAAGACGGUACCUGAGGAGGAAGCUCCGGCUAACUACGUGCCAGCAGCCGCCGCCG